UCAAAAUGACACAUAGAUUAUUAAUUAAAAAACAUUAAAUUAAAUAAAAAAUAGCUAUAAAAAAUAAAAACGCUAAUUUUAACGACGCUAACGCUUCCAGCGAAACCCUAAACCCUAAAUCUUAAAUUCUAAACCUUAUACCCUAAAUUCUAAACCCAAAUUCAAACCCCUAAACCCAAACCCUAUACCCUAAACCCUAAUCCUGGACCCUAAACCCAAAUUAUAUAUCUUAAACCCAAAAAAUAGACUAU
rnacentral:lncRNA from 1 species